rnacentral:lncRNA from 1 species
CCUCAGGGGGCCGAAGACUUUCGCAAUAAGGUCAUAUAAGAUUGCCGAAGACCUUUACAAUAAGUUCACAUGAGAUGACCGAAGACCUUCACAAGUUCACUUCAGAUGGCCGCAUCAUAGCAUUGUUGUCAGGAAAAAAUUACCACGGCUUACCUCAGGGGGCCGAAGACUUUCGCAAUAAGGUCAUAUAAGAUUGCCGAAGACCUUUACAAUAAGUUCACAUGAGAUGACCGAAGACCUUCACAAGUUCACUUCAGAUGGCCGCAUCAUAGCAUUGUUGUCAGGAAAAAAUUACCACGGCUUACCUCAGGGGGCCGAAGACUUUCGCAAUAAGGUCAUAUAAGAUUGCCGAAGACCUUUACAAUAAGUUCACAUGAGAUGACCGAAGACCUUCACAAGUUCACUUCAGAUGGCCGCAUCAUAGCAUUGUUGUCAGGAAAAAAUUACCACGGCUUACCUCAGGGGGCCGAAGACUUUCGCAAUAAGGUCAUAUAAGAUUGCCGAAGACCUUUACAAUAAGUUCACAUGAGAUGACCGAAGACCUUCACAAGUUCACUUCAGAUGGCCGCAUCAUAGCAUUGUUGUCAGGAAAAAAUUACCACGGCUGACCUCAGGGGGCUGAAGACUUUCACAAUAAGGUCAUAUAAGAUUGCCGAAGACCUUUACAAUAAGUUCACAUGAGAUGACCGAAGACCUUCACAAGUUCACUUCAGAUGGCCGCAUCAUAGCAUUGUUGUCAGGAAAAAAUUACCACGGCUUACCUCAGGGGGCCGAAGACUUUCGCAAUAAGGUCAUAUAAGAUUGCCGAAGACCUUUACAAUAAGUUCACAUGAGAUGACCGAAGACCUUCACAAGUUCACUUCAGAUGGCCGCAUCAUAGCAUUGUUGUCAGGAAAAAAUUGCCACGGGUUACCUCAGGGGGCCGAAGACUUUCGCAAUAAGGUCAUAUAAGAUUGCCGAAGACCUUUACAAUAAGUUCACAUGAGAUGACCGAAGACCUUCACAAGUUCACUUCAGAUGGCCGCAUCAUAGCAUUGUUGUCAGGAAAAAAUUACCACGGCUUACCUCAGGGGGCCGAAGACUUUCGCAAUAAGGUCAUAUAAGAUUGCCGAAGACCUUUACAAUAAGUUCACAUGAGAUGACCGAAGACCUUCACAAGUUCACUUCAGAUGGCCGCAUCAUAGCAUUGUUGUCAGGAAAAAAUUACCACGGCUUACCUCAGGGGGCCGAAGACUUUCGCAAUAAGGUCAUAUAAGAUUGCCGAAGACCUUUACAAUAAGUUCACAUGAGAUGACCGAAGACCUUCACAAGUUCACUUCAGAUGGCCGCAUCAUAGCAUUGUUGUCAGGAAAAAAUUACCACGGCUUACCUCAGGGGGCCGAAGACUUUCACAAUAAGGUGAUAUAAGAUUGCUGAAGACCUUUACAUUAAGUUCACAUGAGAUGACUGAAGACCUUCACAAGUUCACUUCAGAUGGCCGCAUCAUAGCAUUGUUGUCAGGAAAAAAUUACCACGGCUUACCUCAGGGGGCCGAAGACUUUCGCAAUAAGGUCAUAUAAGAUUGCCGAAGACCUUUACAAUAAGUUCACAUGAGAUGACCGAAGACCUUCACAAGUUCACUUCAGAUGGCCGCAUCAUAGCAUUGUUGUCAGGAAAAAAUUACCACGGCUGACCUCAGGGGGCUGAAGACUUUCACAAUAAGGUCAUAUAAGAUUGCCGAAGACCUUUACAAUAAGUUCACAUGAGAUGACCGAAGACCUUCACAAGUUCACUUCAGAUGGCCGCAUCAUAGCAUUGUUG